UACGUAGGUGGCAAGCGUUGUCCGGAUUUACUGGGCGUAAAGGGCGUGCAGGCGGUCUGUUAAGUUCAGGGUGAAAGCUCCCGGCUCAACUGGGAGAGGUCCUUGGAUACUGGCAGACUUGAGGGAGGUAGAGGAGAGUGGAAUUCCCGGUGUAGUGGUGAUAUGCGUAGAUAUCGGGAGGAACACCAGUGGCGAAGGCGGCUCUCUGGGCUUUUCCUGACGCUGAGACGCGAAAGCGUGGGGAGCGAACCGG
rnacentral:rRNA from 1 species